rnacentral:lncRNA from 1 species
UAUUUUUAUUUGAUAAACAUUGUCUAAUCUAACUAGGUUUAAAAGAUUCAUCUCAUGAUUUUUAGACAAACUAUGCAAUUAGUUUUUAUUUUCAUCUAUAUUUAAUGCUCUAUGCAUGUGCCACAAGAUUCGAUGUGACGGGAAAUGUUGAAAAGUUUUUAGGUUUUUGGUGAACUAAACAAAGCCUAAGUCUUCUUCGAUUUUUUUUUCAGUCCUUCCGUCGUAGAAGCUUCUCACGGCCUUUAAAAAUAAAAAAAUAAAUAAAAGUGAUUAAGACAUGCAGUUGUUUAAUUAAGCUCAACUUGACAGCAGAUCUGGCCUGGUGGUGCAUCCAGAAGAGAUCUUACCCACCCACGCAAGCAAUCAGCAACGUUAUGACCUGAUGACCUGCUGUUUCUCUCACCAUACCAGAUAAAACAUUGUUUAAAAUAUUAUUCGUUGAUUUAUUAUAAAAAAAACAUUACCAAAUGACUGAUAAAUUCGGUUGAUAAUUUUAUACGAACAAGCUAUGUUUAGUUUCCCACCCAAAUUUUUUUCGUCCAUC